UAAAAAUAGAAUCGCUCUGUUGUAGAUCUAUCUCUUUCUUCUUUAAAAAUGAGUGUCUCUUCAGAGGAUGUCACCCGAUUGCAAUUGUUUGAUGACAUGAUGUCAAAGUUUGAAAAUGAGGAGAGCCCUCCAUUUGUUGGCUAUGAUCCAUCUCAUCCAACUAUCUUUCUAACAUUAUUCAAGUGGUAUGAUGAUCCUGAGAAAGCUGCUGAACAACUCAUUGAAUUGUAUCCUCAUGACCUCCCUUAAUCCAUAGAUAUAUAUAUAUUUAUGCUUUAUCCCAUUCUCCCACAGCCCCAACCCUGAUGCCCCAUUACAUUAGUAGCACACUUAUAGCACAGUGUUUACCAUUGAUGAUCUUAUAGGUACAAAA